rnacentral:lncRNA from 1 species
UUUUUUUUUUUUUUUGGUGAUUCUAGGCUAGGAUUGUGUGUGGCCUCAGGCAAUUUUUCACUGUUGAAUUAUGAUCCCUGGGAAAUAAGUAUGGUCUAUAUGCAGAGUAUAGUCAUGGGGGGGUGUGUGUGUGCUUGUGUAUGUGUGACAGAGAAUGAGGAUGUGGAGAGUGGGUGUGUGAAUGAGAAUGUGUGUGUCUAUGAGAUGUAUGCAUAUGAAUAUAGACAUAGGUAGAGAUGGUAGAUAUAGAUAUGGAGUGAAUGCGGACUAUGGUUUGCUGUGGUGAGGUGGUGGUGAUAUGGGCGUCAAUGUGACGUGAGUGGUAGGUGAGUAUGAGGUAUAUAUGUCUUGUGGGUGAAAAGGUUUUGAUUCAGUUGUGUUCUAUAUGUCUGUGGCCAGAAGUAUGGAUUGUGUGGGUGUGUCAUGGAAACUGCACAUGGUGUGUGCAGUGUGGAUAUGUUUGCAGGGGUGUGUAAAGAGCAUGUGAACCCAAGGCAUUGUGUCUGCUUUUGCCUAUGUGAGUGUGUGGUGGACACACUUCACAGAGCGUGGGGAAUAUGUGUUUGUGUAUAUGCACAUGUGCGGGGACAUGUGGGAAAUGCAUGUAGGAAAUGUGAUGUGCAGCGGGGAAGCACCAGAAGUACAGGAAGGGCAUGAAGGUCAUGCAGGUGUGGGCUGGCAGGUGUGUAUGUGUGUGACUGUGCAUGACAUGAAUCGUGACACCAGGAAAGAUGGUUGCAGUCCUGAGUACCCGCCCCCCCAUGUUUAGAACACCCUAGGUCCUUCUUCAACAUAUUUCCAGAGAUCUAUUAGUAGUGUUCUCCAGAAUGCUGUCCUAUUGCUCUCCAUUGCCCCUCUCAGACCUCGGUCCCUAAUUAUCCCUUUGACUGGGCACAAAGUAUUUGGGGUGAGUAGCAUCUCUUGGAACACGUGAGCUUCUCUCAAGCUGUGCUCGGUAGGAAAAGAUUUUCCCACCUGGUGGAGGUGGGAAAAAAUGAAACAAAAAGAAAAACCAUAAAGCCUAUCAUAAGCAGAAAUAGCCCAGAGUUAAAGCUCAGUUCAGGCCAGGCGUGGUGGCUCAUGCCUAUAAUCCUAUACUUUGGAAGGCCAAGGCAGGCAGAUCAUCUGAGGUCAGGAGUUCAUGACCAGCCUGGUCAAUGUGGUGAAACCCUGUCUCUACUAAAAAUAUAAAAAUUAGCCGGGCGUGGUAUUGUACACCUGUAGUCCCAGCUACUUGGGAGGCUGAGGCAGGAGAAUUGCUUGAGCCUGGAGGCAGAGGUUGCAGUGAACCAAGAUCAUGCCAUUGCACUCCAGCCUGGGUGACAGAGCGAGACUGAAAAAAAAAAAAAAAAUAGCUCGGUUUACAGUUUUCUGUAAGAAUGAAGAAAACACAGUGUAGCUUAGAAGAAAAAAAUCCCUAGUCUUAAAGUUUCUAGUUUCUGCUGUCACUAUUUUAUGAUCUGACCUUGGGCAAACCCUUGGUUGUAGAAACUUCUCUUAACUCUUUCCCACUCCAGUCACAGCCC